rnacentral:rRNA from 1 species
UUGCGACCCCAGGUCAGGCGGGAUUACCCGCUGAAUUUAA